UACGGAGGGUGCGAGCGUUGUCCGGAAUCAUUGGGCGUAAAGGGCGCGUAGGUGGCGGGACAAGCGUGCGGUGAAAGCCUGGGGCUCAACCCCGGGUCGGCCGUGCGAACUGUUUUGCUUGAGCACUGUAGAGGCAGGCGGAAUUCCGGGUGUAGCGGUGGAAUGCGUAGAGAUCCGGAAGAACACCGGGGGCGAAGGCGGCCUGCUGGGCAGUAGCUGACACUGAGGCGCGACAGCGUGGGGAGCAAACAGG
rnacentral:rRNA from 1 species